UUGACGGGGCCCGCACAAGGCGGUGGAGCAUGUGGUUAAUUCGACGCAACGCGAAGAACCUUACCUGGGCUUGACAUCCCGAUCGCACCUUAUGGAAACAUAGGGGUCAGUUCGGCUGGAUCGGUGACAGGUGCUGCAUGGCUGUCGUCAGCUCGUGUCGUGAGAUGUUGGGUUAAGUCCCGCAACGAGCGCAACCCUUGUCCUUAGUUGCCAGCAUUCAGUUGGGCACUCUAGGGAGACUGCCGGUGUCAAACCGGAGGAAGGUGGGGAUGACGUCAAGUCCUCAUGGCCCUUAUGUCCAGGGCUACACACGUGCUACAAUGGCCGGUACAAAGGGGCGCAAGACCGCGAGGUGGAGCAAAUCCCAAAAAACCGGUCUCAGUUCGGAUUGGAGUCUGCAACUCGACUCCAUGAAGUUGGAAUCGCUAGUAAUCGCGUAUCAGCAUGACGCGGUGAAUACGUUCCCGGGCCUU
rnacentral:rRNA from 1 species